UAUUGCUGGCAAUCAGCACGGGCGUCGAGGAAACUCUGCGCCCGUGCACGCAUGUUGAGGGGCAGGAAAAGAAAU
rnacentral:sRNA from 1 species